AUACUUAUACACAUCGCGAGUCAUUUUACGAAAGAGCAUACGGAACAGAGAUGCAAGUAAUGGACCUGCAAGGUCAAGACGCUUUUUCCCGAAAUGAUCUCGAUCAUCUGGUUCACGACGCUCUAACGCACACAAAAGCAUACGAUGGAUCAUGUAACCUAAGAAAAACGCCUUUCUAGUCUCAAAACCUUCCAUUGUAGUAAUAUGCGGAAGCAGCUCUUUCUGUAAAAUGUCAUGGGCAUAUCGAAGACGUUUUUCACGCGUAACACCAGUAGUACUGCCUCUUUUACCAAUGUAAUCCAAAGCUAUAUCUUUAUCUUGAAUCACAAAUGCUUCUUCGAUACAGGGCUUCAUCAUUUCAAGCAUUUGGAAAUCAUUUGGGUCGUAGCAUAUAUGUUCCAAAAUAUCACGAUCAGGUACAACUCCAAGAGCACGGAACACGAUGACGAUAGGAAUGUCACUCCUGAUAUAUGGAAGUGUUGCUCUAAUUGUCUGACCAGAAUUCUCAGUAUUACGUGCCAUUAACUUAAUCUGCAUAGAAGAAAUAAGCCUACUACCUCGUUCCAAAGCAGAGCGAAUUUCAGCAACGUAAGCGAUGGGGCUCGGAGCGGCUUUUUUAAAUACUUGUACAAUAUUGGCAGCAGAUCUCUCUUGAGCAAUGAUUACCUUUUCAGAGCCAUUGAUAAUAAAGUAUCCUCCCUGAUCAUAAGGGCACUCAUUCAAAUCGUACAAUUCAGAAUCACUAACACCAUUUAAAAUGCAAAAAGUAGAACGGAGCAUGAU